CCGGAAGUCCUCAGAGGGAUUUUCUAAUAAAAAUUAGGAGGUUGGGGGGCACCUGGGGAGCUCAGUGGUUGAACGCCUGCCUUCCGCUCAGUUCAGGGUCACUCCAGAAAGAGAGAAGAAGCAAGACCGGGACAGUCUUCAGACAACAUUGGGAAGAUGGUGUGCGGUGCCCAGAGGAGGGGAAGCAGGGCUCUGGAAUCAUCUUCUAUGUGACCUUGGGACGGCACAGAUCAUGCAUCUGGGUGCAAUGGGUGCCCCGAGAAUGCCCCGCGGAUCGGCGACGGUGGAGAGCCGGGCGUGGUGCCAGCCUAGGGCCAAGCCUCCCGGGACCUCAGCAGAUUGGUACAGACUUCCUCUCUUGCUGAUAUUAAAGAAGAAAGCUGCCAAGUUCUGAGAGAGCCUCUGGAGAGGGCUCCUGGCCAGGAGCUGUGGGUAGCCUCUAGGAGCAAGGGCAGCCUCCAGCCUGCCGCCAACAAAAAGAUUUCAGACCCACCACCACAAGGAGAUGACUUGUAUCAGCAGCCUGUGUGAACCCGCCAGCAGAUGCAUCCCCACCAGAGGGUCCAGAUGAGAACCCAGCCCUGGCUAACAACCUUGACACUUUGGCCUCGCAGAGGACCCCAUUAGGCUGCCCCCAGACUCCUGACCCACUGACACUGUGGAUUACCAGUAUGCAUUGUUCUAAGUUGCUAAGUUUAUGAUAAUUUAUGAUGAAGCGAGCAAAAGUGAAUAUAAGUAUUAUCUCCAUCUUACAGAUGAGGAUCUAAAGCUCAGAGGCUGAUCAGCCAUAUGAUAACUAUAAGCCACAGCAGGGACCAGCCCCAGCCUGCAGACUGCAGGCUGACAUUCUCUCCAGGACUCCGCCUGCAGUGCUGGCCGUUGUUCUCUGCAUGGCUGCCUAGAUAGGAGAGGAGUAAUCUACACGGCUUUGAUUCAGUGACCAUUUUUUCAUUUCAAUUCAACAAUUUGUUGUACUCCCACCAUGUGCCCAGCACUGUGCCAGGCGUGGGUGAUAUAGCAGGGAGCAGCACAGAUAGAGGAUCUGCUUUUGGGGAGCAGAAGCUACAAUGAGGGACAUAAAGGAUGACAAGUGCUAUCAGUGUGAUGAGGGUUUCAGAACAAGGAGGAAUGGGAUGAACUGGGAGCACGUAGUAGGGCAGCCAGCCUCAGUUCAAGGCCAGGGACAGUGUCCUUGAGGAAGUAGCAUGUAGGUCCCUUGGGGGUAGGCCUGGUGGGGAGUCAACCCUUCUGCAUGGAGAGCAAGUGAGUGGGCGGGUGACUGGGUAAGCUUUCCUGGUCAUGGGUCCCCAGGGAAGAAGGCUCUCCCAGCAAUGUGAAAUCAUCCUGUUUCUGUGCAUUGGCUUCCAAGACAUCUUGUCCCAAGGACCCAGGGCUUUAUGACUGGCCCGUGACGCUCGUGAUUCUGGAGCGUGCUUCCUGAAUGCAUCACGGGUGGAUGGGCAGAGGUAGGGGUGGCUUAGCCGUGACUCUUAUCCCCUAAUCAUGCCUGGACAUCUGGCAGGGGAAGAACUGCAGGUGGGAGUGGGAAGCAAAGCAGGCAGAUGAGGAGCAGUGAGGGUAGGAGCAGAGCCAGAGGAAAGCACAAGAAUGAGAAAGCGGGCCCUGCAUGAGCCCAGCUGCAGUGUGCGAUGGUUCAGCAGACCCAGGGUCCUGCCAGUGAGUGGGCAGCAUGAUGUGGCUCAGGCAAGGUCCCAGCAGGACGCAGAUGGCACACUGAGAUCGGGCCAUCCGAGGGGCAUGCAAUAAAGGGACUAUUUUCAAGGGCCAGAAGCUGGACCAAUAGCAGCAGUCUGUGCACUGUGCACUGCUGUGCCGGAUGGGGUGAGAGGUGGAGGGGGUGACUAGAACCCCUCUGGGAAGAGCGGACCCCUGAUGGGAGCCGUGGCCACAACUCAGCCAGAUCACGGCCACCCCAAGGCAGGUUUGGGGGGGUAGGGGGACUAAUCACUGUGCACUCUUGUUCCUCUCUGCCUCCCACAUGCUGUCAGUGCUCCUCCCUGAUCAGGGUGCAGAGUGAGGGCACCUACCCCUGUCCCCCACCCACCCCCAGCCCCAUGCAAUCCCCACAGGCCCACCUCAGUGCACAGAGCAGGGAAGAGAAGUUGGGGAACAGACUGGAAGUGAGAAGAAACUCAAUCCCAACCCCAUCCUUUACCAGCCGGGAACUCUGUACAAGCUCUUUGAACUUCUUGGGCCUCAGUUUCCCCCUCCAUAAAAAGGGGAUGCUGAGCAUGCUUAUAUUCAGUUCUGAGUUUGAAAUGUGAAGAUGUGUUCAAGAAUUCCAGCUUGGAGCCCUGCACCCAUUGGCUGGCUGCUGGCCUUGGUUCCUAAGAGUUCAGCAACAAGAACACAAAAUCGGGGCCACUGAGAAGCCAGACAGACACCAGUCCAGAAACCCCGGACAUCAAACAAUACACUGGAUGAGAAGCUUGCUCAGCAGGUCCAGUUCACAGGAAGAGGGUUUUGAAAGCAACAGCAUCAGAUCUGCAAUACCACUGCGGUCAGGUUUUUUCAGAUGAAAGGAAACCAAAGUGGAUCGAAGAACUGCAGGUUGACAGAUGAUGACUUGGUGCAUGACAGGAGCAAGCAGAGGCAAAGGGGUCACUUGGAGGCCUGAGAAGAGCACAGUGCUUCCUGGCACCCACGCAUGUCCUCCUCCAGCUCCUCUGCCCUGGGAGGCCCUGGCUGCACUGAGGAUGGCACAAAGAUACUUGACCAUAUGAAUCAAUGGGACAGGGUGGUGCGAGUGAAGGAGCCCAGAGCAGAGCUUCAAGAGUUUCUCAGUAAAUCUGUCCCUGCUCAUGAAUGGAUGAUCUCACCAUGAUCUCACCUUGGAGGGGGAGCAGAAAGAACCAGAAUAAGGAGAAGAUUGUGAGCCCCGGUGACAGGAAGGCCCAGAGCUCCCUGGGAGUGCUGGACUCUGUGACUCAGGGAUGCACACACUGUGUGUGUGACCUUUGACCUGUGAACUGGUCUGAGGCAAAGCAGUCUGCGGCAGUGGCCUUCAUGUGCUACACUAUGCAGCACAUCUAUGGAGAUUGCACCUCCAGUGAAAGCCCAGCUCCCCACCCCACCCCCGCCACCAUGGACUUGUAUGUGUGAAUGGGGGUGAGCAGGGAGCAGAGGCAGGGCACACAGCUGGUAUUCAUUGCCUUAGUUACACAGCUACUACAACCAUCUGCAGAGACUUCUCUUGUAUGCGAUGGCAACUCUUCUGGAAAAACUGAUUGCCCUGGUUGUAGAAGAGGCGAUGAUCCCAAGCAAUAAAAUCACCAUAGCAGGUGUUGGAUAAGCUGGUAUGGCACGUGCCAUCAGCAUUCUGGGAAACUCUCUGGCAACAAACUUGCCCUUGUGGAUGUUCUGGAAGAUCUGGGUGGCGCAGCGGUUUGGCGCCUGCCUUUGGCCCAGGGCACGAUCCUGGAGACCUGGGAUCGAAACCCACAUUGGGCUCCCGGUGCAUGGAGCCUGCUUCUCCCUCUGCCUGUGUCUCUGCCUCUCUCUCUCUGUGUGUAAAAAAAAAAAAAAAGAAAAGAAAGAAAAAAAAAAAAAAAGAAAUGAGGCGUCUCAGGCAUGGGAGCUCACUUCUUCAGACGCCAAAAACUGUGGCAGAUAAAGAUUACUCUGUGACUGGUAAUUCUAAAAUUGUGAUGGAAAAUGCAGGAGUCCACCAGCAAGAGGAAGAGAGUCAUCUCAAUCUGGUGCAGAGGAAUGUUAACGUCUUCAAAUUCAUUAUUCUUCAGAUCAUCCAAUAUGGUCCCAAUUGCAUCAUAAUUACGAUUCCCAACCCAGCGGAUUCUCACAUUCUCACAUAUGUUACCUGGAAACUAACCAGAUUACCUGAGCACCAUGUGAUUGGAAAUGAGCGUAAUCUGGAAUCUGCUAGAUUUCGCCAUUUUAUGGUUGAAAAACUUGGCAUUCAUCCCAGUGGUUGCUGAGUUCGGAGGAUGUGGCAUCUCAAGUGAGGCUGUAUGGAGUAGAGUGAAGAUGGUAGGCGUUUCUCUCUAGGAACUGAAUCCAGAAAUGGGAAGAGACGAUAAUAGUGAAAACUGGAAGGACAUACGUAAUAUGGUGACUAGAAGUGCUUAUGGAAUCAUCAAGCCAAAAGGAUAUACCAGCUGGGCUAUUGGAUAAAUGUGGCUACUCUCAUCGAGUCCAUGCUGAAAAUCUAUCUGGGAUUCAUCCCAUGUCAAUGAUGGUGAAGAGAAUGCGUAGCACUGAGAAUGAGGCCUUCUUGAGCCUUCCAUGUAUCCUGAGUGCUCAGGGGUUAACCAGUGUUAUCAAGCAGAAGCUGAAGGCUGACCAAGUUGCUCAACUCAAGAAAAGUACAGAUACCCUGUGGGACAUCCAGAAGAACCUAAGAGAUCUGUGACUUCUGGGUUGUAGGCUAUAGAAAUUUAAAAAUUCCAAAUGUGGAUUAACUGUGAAUCUCUAGUUUUUAUACAGGUACUUGGAUUAUAUCUGGCUUUUAUCUUCCUAGAUAUGUGAAUUUGGGCUCACAGAAUCGAAGCCCAUGCUUGGUUUAAUGCUUGCAGUAUGAGCCCUUGAAUAAACAAUUAACUAUUGGGGGGGAGGGGAGAAGAAAAGAAAGAAAGGAAAGAAAGACAGAGAAGAAAGAAAGGAAAGAAAGACAGAAAGGAAG